rnacentral:RNase_P_RNA from 1 species
CAAGUGAGCCGGGCAAUCGCUGGUUUUUGCAGUAUAUGCAAAAACUGGAGGAAAGUCCGAACUCCAAAGGGCAGAGCGCUGGGUAACACCCAGGUGCCGUGAGGCAAUGGAAAGUGCCACAGAAAACAAACCGCCUAAGUUUUUCGCUAUGAAGAACCGGUAAGGGUGAAAAGGUAGUGUAAGAGACUACCGCGUGGGUUGGUGACAACCUACGGCACGGUAAACCCCGCUUGGAGAAAGACAAAAUAGGGAAGUGCUUUUUCUCACGAAAAAUGAGGCGGCCCGUCUUAAGCUUCCGGGUAUGUCGCUAGAGGCAUUCAGUAAUGAGUGUCCCAGAUGAAUGAUUGUCCAAGACAGAAUUCGGCUUACAGGCUCACUUGUUUC